GACGAACGCUGGCGGCGUGCUUAACACAUGCAAGUCGAACGGAAAGGCCCUGCUUUUGUGGGGUGCUCGAGUGGCGAACGGGUGAGUAACACGUGAGUAACCUGCCCUUGACUUUGGGAUAACUUCAGGAAACUGGGGCUAACACCGGAUAGGAGCUCCUGCUGCAUGGUGGGGGUUGGAAAGUUUCGGCGGUUGUGGAUGGACUCGCGGCUUAUCAGCUUGUUGGUGGGGUAGUGGCUUACCAAGGCUUUGACGGGUAGCCGGCCUGAGAGGGUGACCGGCCACAUUGGGACUGAGAUACGGCCCAGACUCCUACGGGAGGCAGCAGUGGGGAAUAUUGCACAAUGGGCGGAAGCCUGAUGCAGCAACGCCGCGUGCGGGAUGACGGCCUUCGGGGUGUAAACCGCUUUCGCCUGUGACGAAGCGUGAGUGACGGUAAUGGGUAAAGAAGCACCGGCUAACUACGUG
rnacentral:rRNA from 1 species